GCCGGAAUAGCUCAGUUGGUAGAGCAGAGGACUGAAAAUCCUCGUGUCACCAGUUU
rnacentral:tRNA from 1 species